CCUGCCAAGUCCUCAGCUCUCCCACAGGGGCAGCUUUCGUCUGGCAAGAGUGGAAGGCAGACAAGGGUGCCCUAAGAAAAGACAAUGAAGACAGCCUCACCAAAGCCUGAGGAGUCUCCUCCUCCUGACAGGAUGAACCUGGAAGGGCUGUACCAGGAGGAAAAUGCUCACUGACACCUGAAACAUGCAGAGCGUGACCUUCCUCCAGGAACCCAUGGCUGCCUCCAUGUCUUAAUGUUUAUAUUUUAUU